CGCUGCGGUGCGCCUACACAUGCAAGUCCGAGCGGGAAGUUUUUUGAAGCUUUGCUUCCAGANAGACGGAUAGCGGCGAACGGGUGAAGUAACACGUUGGUAUCCUGCCCCUUGGUCAGGGAUAGCCAGAAGANAAUUCCUGAAUUAAUACCGGAAUAGUCCUCCUACGGAGUAAAGAUUUAUUGCUUGGGGAGUGGCCUGCGUUCUAUCAGCUAGUUGGUGAGGUAAUAGCUCACCAAGGCUAUGACGGAUACCUGGUCUGAGAGGAUGAUCAGGCACAAUGGAACUGAGACACGGUCCAUACUCCCUACGGGAGGCAGCAGUGAGGAAUCUUCCCACAAUGGACGAAAGUCUGAUGGAGCGACACCGCGUGAAGGAUGAAGGCCUAACGGUUGUAAACUUCUUUUCUGAAGGAGCAUAAUGAGAGUACUUCAGGAAUAAGGGACGGCUAAAUACGUGCCAGCAGCCGCGGUAAUACGUAUGUCCCAAGCGUUACCCGGAAUCACUGGGUGUAAAGGGUUCGUAGGUGGAAAUUUAAGUCAGGUAUGAAAGACCGGAGCUCAACUCCGAGUUUGUGCUUGGAAACUGGGUUUCUAGAAUCAGGGAGAGGUAAGCGGAAUUCUAAGUGUAGGGGUGCAAUCCGUAGAUACUUAGAGGAACACCAAAAGCGAAGGCAGCUUACUGGAACUAUAUUGACGCUCAUGAACGAAAGCGUGGGUAGCGAAAAGGAUUAGAUACCCUUGUAGUCCACGCCCUAACGAUGAUAACUAAGUGUCGCGACUAGCUCGCAGUGCUGUAGCUAAC
rnacentral:rRNA from 1 species